CCUACGGGAGGCAGCAGUGAGGAAUAUUGGUCAAUGGGCUUACGCCUGAACCAGCCAAGUCGCGUGAGGGAAGACUGCCCUAUGGGUUGUAAACCUCUUUUGUCAGGGAGCAACGCCGGCUACGUGUAGCCGGACUGAGAGUACCUGAAGAAAAAGCAUCGGCUAACUCCGUGCCAGCAGCCGCGGUAAUACGGAGGAUGCGAGCUGUAUCCGGAUUUAUUGGGUUAAAAGGGUGCGUAGGCGGAAUGCCAAGUCAGCGGUAAAAUGGCGGGGCUGAACCUCGGUCCGCUGUUGAAACUGGCGAACUUGAGUGGGCGAGAAGUAUGCGGAAUGCGUGGUGUAGCGGUGAAAUGCAUAGAUAUCACGAAGAACUCCGAUUGCGAAGGCAGCAUACCGGCGCCCAACUGACGCUGAAGCACGAAAGCGUGGGUAGCGAACAGGAUUAGAUACCCUAGUAGUC
rnacentral:rRNA from 1 species